AUUCAUCAGCGAGAGGGGACCUGAAAGCAGGUCGCCAUCUGUGAGGCAUUGGUUACAUGAAAACCGUGUGACAACCUUGGAAGUCUGAAAGAGCAGGAGAGAGGCUAAGCACACACAUAUUGUGAUUUUAAGAGUCUCAAGGUGAGAAGAAACAUCAGAAGCAGUUGAGAGACCAGGACGUGGGUCCUCAAAGGAUGAACAGAAGUUCUUUUGGAUAACAUUUUAAAAUGUUUCCUCCAGAGUUAUCUGCCUCAUUAACAAUGGUUUGAGUCUCAAGAGUCUCUCUUCGAUUUUACAAACAUGAUUUGUUGCUCUGCUAUAAAUGCAUGCUGCUCUAGUCCUUCAAUAAACCCACAACAUGUUUUCACCAUU
rnacentral:lncRNA from 1 species